CCCUCCUGUCCUUUUUCCUUUUCUUUUUCCUUUUCUUUUCCCUUUCCUUUUUCCCUUCCCCUUUCCCCUCCUGUCCUUUUCCUUUUUCCUUUUCCUUUUCCCUUUCCUUUUUCCCUUCCCCUUCCCCUUUCCCCUUUCCACUCCUGUCCUUUUCCUUUUUCCCUUUCCUUUUUCCCUUUCCCUUUCCCCUCCUGUCCUUUUCCUUUUUCCCUUUCCUUUUUCCUUUUCUUUUUCCUUUCUUUUCCCCUUUCCCCCCCUUCCCUUUUCCUUUUCCCUUUUUCCUUUUCCUUUCCCCUUUGCCAUCCUGUCCCAUUCCUUUUUCCCGUUCCUUUUUCCUUUUCUUUUCCCUUUCCUUUUUUCUUUUUCCCUCUUGUCCUUUUCCUUUUUCCUUUUCCCUUUCCUUUUUCCCUUUCCUUUCCCUUUUUCCCUCCUGUCCUUUUCAUUUUCCCUUUUCCUUGUCUUUUUCCUUUUCUUUUUCCUUUCCUGUUUCCUUUUCUUUUUCCUUUCCCCUUUCCCAUCCAGUCCUUUUUUCCUUUCCUUUCCCCUUUCCCAUCCAGUCCUCUUUUCCUUUUUCCCUUUCCUUUCC
rnacentral:lncRNA from 1 species